GACGAACGCUGGCGGCGUGCUUAACACAUGCAAGUCGAACGGAAAGGCCCUGCUUUUGUGGGGUGCUCGAGUGGCGAACGGGUGAGUAACACGUGAGUAACCUGCCCUUGACUUUGGGAUAACUUCAGGAAACUUGGGCUAAUACCGGAUAGGAGCUCCUGCUGCAUGGUGGGGGUUGGAAAGUUUCGGCGGUUGGUGAUGGAAUCGCGUCCUAUCAGCUUGUUGGUGGGGUAGUGGAUUACCAAGGCUUUGCCGGGUAGCCGGCCUGAGAGGGUGACCGGCCAAAUUGGGCCUGAGAUACGGCCCAGACUCCUACGGGAGGCAGCAGUGGGGAAUAGUGCACAAUGGGCGGAAGCCUGAUGCAGCAACGCAGCGUGCGGGAUGACGGCCUUCGCGUUGUAAACCGCUUUCGCCUGUGACGAAGCGUGAGUGACGGUAAUGGGUAAAGAAGCACCGGCUAACUACGUG
rnacentral:rRNA from 1 species